UACGGAGGGUGCAAACGUUGCUCGGAAUCACUGGGCGUAAAGGGCGCGUAGGCGGCCGAUCAAGUCGGGGGUGAAAGCCUGUGGCUCAACCACAGAAUGGCCUUCGAUACUGGUUGGCUCGAGACCGGAAGAGGUGAGUGGAACUGCGAGUGUAGAGGUGAAAUUCGUAGAUAUUCGCAAGAACACCAGUGGCGAAGGCGGCUCACUGGUCCGGUUCUGACGCUGAGGCGCGAAAGCGUGGGGAGCAAACAGG
rnacentral:rRNA from 1 species